rnacentral:tRNA from 1 species
CAAACAAUAGUCUAAAUUAGGAUCCUAGCUUUGGGAGUUAGGGGUGGGGGUUAAA